rnacentral:rRNA from 1 species
GACGAACGCUGGCGGCGUGCUUAACACAUGCAAGUCGAGCGGAAAGGCCCUUCGGGGUACUCGAGCGGCGAACGGGUGAGUAACACGUGAGCAACCUGCCCUUGGCUUCGGGAUAACUAUCGGAAACGGUGGCUAAUACCGGAUAUGACACACUCUCGCAUGGGAUGUGUGUGGAAAGUUUUUCGGCCAGGGAUGGGCUCGCGGCCUAUCAGCUUGUGUGGGUGANGCUACCAAGGCGACGACGGGUAGCCGGCCGUGAGAGGGCGACCGGCCGACACUGGGACGUGAGACACGGCCCACGACUCCUACGGGAGGCGAGCAGUGGGGAAGUAAUU